rnacentral:rRNA from 1 species
UACGUAGGGAGCAAGCGUUGUCCGGAAUCAUUGGGCGUAAAGCGCGCGUAGGUGGCUUCGUAAGUCCGUUGUGAAAGUCAAAGGCUCAACCUUUGAAAGCCGAUGGAUACUGCGGAGCUAGAGUACGGAAGAGGCGAGUGGAAUUCCUGGUGUAGCGGUGGAAUGCGCAGAUAUCAGGAGGAGCACCAAUAGCGAAGGCAGCUCGCUGGGACGUUACUGACACUGAGGCGCGAAAGCGUGGGGAGCGAACAGG